UUACGGUCAAAUCACGCUGAAAACACCGGUUCUCGUUCGAUCACCGAAGUUAAGCAUCGUGGAGCCAGGUCAGUACUUAGAUGGGGGACCGCUUGGGAACACCUGGUACUGUAAG
rnacentral:rRNA from 1 species